GACGAACGCUGGCGGCGUGCUUAACACAUGCAAGUCGAGCGGUAAGGCCCUUUCGGGGUACGACGAGCGGCGAACGGGUGAGUAACACGUGGGUGACCUCGCCCUCAGCUCUGGGAGUAAGCCCGGGAAACCGUGGGUCUAAUACUGGAUAUGACUCCAUGACGCAUGUUGUGGGGUGGAAAGCCUUGUGCGGCUGAGGAUGGGCCCGCGGCCUAUCAGCUUGUUGGUGGGGG
rnacentral:rRNA from 1 species